rnacentral:rRNA from 1 species
UACGAAGGUUGCAAGCGUUACUCGGAAUUACUAGGCGUAAAGGGCAGGUAGGUGGUUUGGUAAGUCUAUUGUGAAAGCUCCCGGCUUAACUGGGAGAGGCCAAUGGAUACUGCCAAGCUUGAGUAUAGGAGAGGUUACUGGAAUUCCCGGUGUAGCGGUGAAAUGCGCAGAUAUCAGGAGGAACACCGGUGGCGAAGGCGGGUUGCUAGGCUGACACUGACGCUGAGGCGCGAAAGCCAGGGAGCAAACGGG